GCGGGAGUGGUGGAAUUGGCAGACACGCAGGAUUUAGGUUCCUGUGCCUUCGGGCGUGCGGGUUCAAGUCCCGCCUUCCGCA
rnacentral:tRNA from 1 species